rnacentral:rRNA from 1 species
UACGUAGGGGGCUAGCGUUGUCCGGAUUUAUUGGGCGUAAAGAGCGUGUAGGCGGCCAGAUAGGUCUGCUGUGAAAACUCGAGGCUCAACCUCGAGCUGUCGGCGGAAACCAUUUGGCUAGAGUCCGGAAGAGGAGAGUGGAAUUCCUGGUGUAGCGGUGAAAUGCGCAGAUAUCAGGAGGAACACCGAUGGCGAAGGCAGGUCUCUGGGCAUUAACUGACGCUGAGGAGCGAAAGCAUGGGGAGCGAACAGG